GGACCCGCACAAGCGGUGGAUGAUGUGGUUUAAUUCGAUGCAACGCGAAAAACCUUACCCACCUUUGACAUGUACGGAAUUUGCCAGAGAUGGCUUAGUGCUCGAAAGAGAACCGUAACACAGGUGCUGCAUGGCUGUCGUCAGCUCGUGUCGUGAGAUGUUGGGUUAAGUCCCGCAACGAGCGCAACCCUUGUCAUUAGUUGCUACAUUUAGUUGGGCACUCUAAUGAGACUGCCGGUGACAAACCGGAGGAAGGUGGGGAUGACGUCAAGUCCUCAUGGCCCUUAUAGGUGGGGCUACACACGUCAUACAAUGGCCGGUACAAAGGGCUGCCAACCCGCGAGGGGGAGCUAAUCCCAUAAAACCGGUCGUAGUCCGGAUCGCAGUCUGCAACUCGACUGCGUGAAGUCGGAAUCGCUAGUAAUCGUGGAUCAGAAUGUCACGGUGAAUACGUUCCCGGGUCUU
rnacentral:rRNA from 1 species